rnacentral:tRNA from 1 species
AUCUCCGCAGGAUAGAGCAACAGUUUUCUAAACUGUAGGUCGGAGGUUCGAAUCCUCUUCGGG